rnacentral:ribozyme from 1 species
UGUCCAGCAACUCCUAUCCCUACCUUACUGGCGGUACUGGUCGGGGUACGAGCAACCUAAGGGAAGAUCUGGUAACCAACCCCGGUGGGAACUUUCGUCGUUUGCUGACAGGGAAGG